GGUGUAAGAACCCAAAGCACCUAUUCUCGGACGCAACCAACCUCUGACUAUUCCACUCUGAUUCCUUCGCUCUGCCCGUGAAAGUCUUCUUUCUUCGAGUGAGAGAAGAGAAGAUUCGCACUGGCUUUAUGGCUCAUACGUCCUCGAAAGAAAAAAAAUUGAAGGGGAAGGAAUGCUUCUAACAAAGGUACGCUCUAAUCGCUCCCCGCUCUAAUCGCUCCCCUUUAUUAUUAUUAGUAAGAUAGGGUGGUUGAGAAGCAGGUCGUUCGUGUACUUAUUGUACAAUAAUACCUACGACUAUCAAAGGAACUAAUCUCACAAGCAACCAACCUAAUAAAGGGGCAAAAACACCUCUAACGACCACGCUUUUUCUCUUCCUUCAGUAGGCUCUGCCUCAUAGCAUAGCCGGACUCAGAAAUGCAAGUCUUUGAUCAAACCUAGCAAAUAAUGGCAUAAACAAUGGAUUCUCACUCGGGGCUCAACUUUCCAUAAUCCACUGUUAGGGACCCUCUAUUUUCUCAUCCACCUUCUUUCCCUUGGUACGGUACCUUCAUUGCACAUUUGUUCUCAAACCCUUCUUUUCAGCCGUCAAAAUGGGCCUUGGCCUCAUAGCCGCCAUACCUAGACGAAUCUGACUCCUCUUCAAAAAGAGAGAGCAGUUGUUCCUUUUUGAAGGGCAGAAUAAGACUUGCAAAGGUUUUUUGUGCUACUAGAUUGAAGAAGUCGAUCGACGGUCAGAGGCCCCUUGGUACUUUAGCCCAAAGUCUUGCCUUGACUUACGAGCAAGCCGAACCCCCCCAUCGCAACACCUACCCUUUUUUUCUUCCUGAGGUGG
rnacentral:lncRNA from 1 species